UACGUAGGGUGCAAGCGUUAAUCGGAAUUACUGGGCGUAAAGCGUGCGCAGGCGGUGAUGUAAGACAGGUGUGAAAUCCCCGGGCUUAACCUGGGAACUGCAUUUGUGACUGCAUCGCUGGAGUGCGGCAGAGGGGGAUGGAAUUCCGCGUGUAGCAGUGAAAUGCGUAGAUAUCUGGAGGAACACCGGUGGCGAAGGCGGCAUCCUGGACCGACACUGACACUGAGGAGCGAAAGCCAGGGGAGCAAACGGG
rnacentral:rRNA from 1 species